GACGAACGCUGGCGGCGUGCCUAAUACAUGCAAGUUGAGCGAUGAAGAUUGGUGCUUGCACCAAUUUGAAGAGCAGCGAACGGGUGAGUAACGCGUGGGGAAUCUGCCUUUGAUCGGGGGACAACAUUUGGAAACGAAUGCUAAUACCGCAUAACAACUUUAAACAUAAGUUUUAAGUUUGAAAGAUGCAAUUGCAUCACUCAAAGAUGAUCCCGCGUUGUAUUAGCUAGUUGGUGAGGUAAAGGCUCACCAAGGCGAUGAUACAUAGCCGACCUGAGAGGGUGAUCGGCCACAUUGGGACUGAGACACGGCCCAAACUCCUACGGGAGGCAGCAGUAGGGAAUCUUCGGCAAUGGACGAAAGUCUGACCGAGCAACGCCGCGUGAGUGAAGAAGGUUUUCGGAUCGUAAAACUCUGUUGGUAGAGAAGAACGUUGGUGAGAGUGGAAAGCUCAUCAAGCGACGGUAACUACCCAGAAAGGGACGGCUAACUACGUG
rnacentral:rRNA from 1 species